AUUCACUUGAGUUUUGUUCCGGUUUUAUACUCGUUUUCUUCUCACAGUGUUGAAUAAUGUCUCUCAGUUAGUGAUCAUGGAUGUUCCAACCGUGUGCUACAUCUAUUCUUUGUCGUCGCAAUAUCGCAGGUGUAAUCUAAUGGACUUGAUAUUUCGUCUCCGGAGGUCACUUCAACAAAUAAAUGGUAGUAUGUUGGGACAGGAAUUCCAGUAGACCAAUAAUCAUAAUAAUGAUUUCGGACUUGGACCACAAAAUCGACCCACUUCAAAUCCAUUUGGGGAUGCGCAACUCUCUCCUCCGUAUUUACCUGGUUCUAAGGAGUGCACUUCUUCGGUUGCUGUGCCUCCGGCACUCCAGCAAAGCAGUUCGACUAUGUUGGAGAUUAUCACGGGCGUAGUAAUUUGCCACAUGGCCCAUUCCUUUCUGACACACAGGAAUAAAAUCUUUCAGGUGUGGGCUGUGCACAUAUCGUUGCAUUAACAAGGCAAUGCUGAAGAGCCAUAUGAAAUCCCACUCGAAGACGUAUGAUUAUCACUGUGGUGACUGCCAAACAAAAUUAAAGUUUCACCAUACCUUCAAGCAGCAUCUUGA